rnacentral:antisense_RNA from 1 species
CUUGAUGGAGCCGAGCCACAGCGGCCGUCCCUCGGGCCGCUCCUGCCCGUAGGUGGCCAGCAGCGCCUGGGCCUC